rnacentral:rRNA from 1 species
AUGGCUGCCAGUUCCGAGCUUGCGAUUUUGGUGGCAUGCGCGCUGCUGUUAGCUGCGGCGUGCGGAGGUGCCCCCGACGACGUGCCCGAGCUCGAGGUCGGGUACUACGAGGAGACGUGUCCCGAGGCGGAGUCCAUCGUGAGGGCCGCCGUGAGCGAGGCCGUCGCCGCGGACGCCGGCGUCGGCGCCGGCCUCAUCCGCCUCCUCUUCCACGACUGCUUCGUCCAGGGCUGCGACGCGUCGGUGCUGCUGGACCCGACGGCGUCGAACCCACGGCCGGAGAAGCUCGGCCCGCCCAACUUCCACAGCCUGCGGGGCUUCGAGGCGAUCGACGCGGCUAAGGCCGCCGUGGAGGAGGCGUGCCCCGGCACCGUCUCCUGCGCCGACAUCGUCGCCUUCGCCGCGCGCGACGCGUCCUACCUCCUGAGCGGCUACCGCGUCGACUUCACGAUGCCGGCGGGCCGCCUCGACGGCCGGCGCUCGAAUGCCUCAGACACGGUCCCGUCCCUCCCCCCGGCGUCCGCCAGCUUCACCGAGCUUGUCGACAAUUUCGCCAGGCAGGGCCUCGACGCGGAGGACAUGGUCGUGCUCUCCGGCGCGCACUCCGUCGGCCACGCCCGCUGCUCGACCUUCGCCGCGGGCCGCACGGCCGUCGACGCCGACGCCGACAUCGACCCGUCGUUCGCGAGGUCGCUGCGGAGGAGGUGCGCCCGGGCGGGGAACAGCACCGACGGAAAGGAGCAAGACGAGCCGACGGUGAGCCAGGACACGGUGACCCCGACGGAGCUGGACAGCCAGUACUACCGCAACGUGCUGAAGCGCAGGGUGCUGCUCGCCUCCGACGCGGCGCUCCUGGAGACCCCGGAGGCGGCGCGGAUGGUGCGGGACAGCGCGAGCGUCGGCGGGCGGUGGGAGAAGAAGUUCGCGAAGGCCAUGGUGAAGAUGGCCGGCAUCGGCGUGAAGAAGGCCGGCCGCCAUGCCGAGAUCAGGGCGAACUGCAGGGUCGUCAACUACUGA